GAUGAAGAACGUAGCGAAAUGCGAUAAGUAAUGUGAAUUGCAGAAUUCAGUGAAUCAUCGAAUCUUUGAACGCACAUUGCGCCCGCCAGUAUUCUGGCGGGCAUGCCUGUUCGAGCGUCAUUUCAACCAUCAAGCCCCGGGCUUGUGUUGGGGACCUGCGGCUGCCGCAGGCCCUGAAAUGCAGUGGCGGGCUCGCUGUCACUCCGAGCGUAGUAGUUACAUCUCGCUCUGGGCGUGCUGCGGGUUCCGGCCGUUAAAAGCCUUAUUUACCCAAGGUUGACCUCGGAUCGGGUAGGAAGACCCGCUGAACUUAAGCAUAUCAAUAAGCGGAGGA
rnacentral:misc_RNA from 1 species